rnacentral:rRNA from 1 species
CACGUAGGGUGCGAGCGUUGUCCGGAAUUAUUGGGCGUAAAGAGCUCGUAGGCGGUGUGUCGCGUCGGCCGUGAAAACCUGCAGCUUAACUGUGGGCUUGCGGUCGAUACGGGCAUCACUGGAGUUCGGCAGGGGAGACUGGAAUUCCUGGUGUAGCGGUGAAAUGCGCAGAUAUCAGGAGGAACACCGGUGGCGAAGGCGGGUCUCUGGGCCGAUACUGACGCUGAGGAGCGAAAGCUAGGGGAGCAAACAGG